GCGCCUAACACAUGCAAGUCGAACGAGAGAUGAGGAGCUUGCUCUUCAAAUCGAGUGGCGAACGGGUGAGUAACGCGUGAGGAACCUGCCUCAAAGAGGGGGACAACAGUUGGAAACGACUGCUAAUACCGCAUAAGCCCGCGGCUCGGCAUCGAGCAGAGGGAAAAGGAGCAAUCCGCUUUGAGAUGGCCUCGCGUCCGAUUAGCUAGUUGGUGAGGUAACGGCCCACCAAGGCGACGAUCGGUAGCCGGACUGAGAGGUUGAACGGCCACAUUGGGACUGAGACACGGCCCAGACUCCUACGGGAGGCAGCAGUGGGGAAUAUUGCACAAUGGGGGAAACCCUGAUGCAGCGACGCCGCGUGGAGGAAGAAGGUCUUCGGAUUGUAAACUCCUGUUGUUGAGGAAGAUAAUGACGGUACUCAACAAGGAAGUGACGGCUAACUACGUGCCAGCAGCCGCGGUAAAACGUAGGUCACAAGCGUUGUCCGGAAUUACUGGGUGUAAAGGGAGCGCAGGCGGGAGAACAAGUUGGAAGUGAAAUCCAUGGGCUCAACCCAUGAACUGCUUUCAAAACUGUUUUUCUUGAGUAGUGCAGAGGUAGGCGGAAUUCCCGGUGUAGCGGUGGAAUGCGUAGAUAUCGGGAGGAACACCAGUGGCGAAGGCGGCCUACUGGGCACCAACU
rnacentral:rRNA from 1 species